CGCGCCGUGACGUCACGGCCGGCGCACCUCCGCGGCGCACAGCCGCGCGCUCUGCCGCCUGCCCCGCGCUUUGCCGGGGGUCCCGGGCCGGCCGUGGGGAGCGGGCACCGGAGAGGAGUCGCGGCUCGUUGCAGGGUCCUUUUUGCGACUCGACCCACCCCCCGCCGCCGCGGGAAACCGCACUUGAGCCAUGUAUAAGUAAAAUAUAAAGUUAUCCUAUCCUACAGCUGCUGCUGGCUACGCAGAGACACUCGAGUGUAGUGAGGUCCUUAACUCAAGACAGAGCUUAAAAAUAAUAAACCGAGUAAGACAUCACCAAAAUAUUAAAUGAAAGGAGGGAAUGGUGUUAACCAAGGUAAUCAUGGCUUCUACCUCCUCAUGUGAAGCACGCCGGGCAGGAACGACACGUUCUGUACAAAGUGAAAGCCGUGAUCUUGCAAAGGCUUGACUUUGAAGCAUGUGACUUCAAUGUCUUUGAUUAUGCAUGCAGUUCAAGGUUAGAAAAUAGCAGGAUUAGUUAGGGAGGAGGGACGGGUUAGGCUCUACUGCAUUCCAGGUGGCUAUUACUGCACCCAAUUCUUUACAUUUCCACAUAAAAGAAAUAAUUUUUUAGAUGUUUUUGUUCAGUUGUGAAGGGACCUCCAUAAGUAAGUUAUACUGGACUUUUCUAGAACCAUAGAAUGGUUUGGAUUGGAAGGGACCUUAAAGAUUAUCUACUUCCAACCCCUCUACCAUAGGCAAGGACACAAAGGAAUAGUGUAGACUAUUAAAUGGUGCAGAACUUUUUCCCCCUUCUUUUAACUCUCUCUACAAGGCCACGUACAGCACUCAAAGUAGUGGGGGCAACUGGGUUACAUUCAUACUAUCAAUUAACUUCUCACAAUUCAUCUAGGAUUUAUGAUGUCCAAAGAAUUCAGCUUGUUGUCAAGUACUUCUAAAAACCAUCUGACUGUUUUUUUGAUAUAUCAAAGAGAGCAAAAAUCCUUCAGUUCUAGCCUAGUUCAACAGUUCUAAUUUCAAAUGGAUAGAUUAUGUUCUGGAUUCUUACAUCUACCCCAAGAAAUUCAAGUUCCUGGAACCCUUGCUUUACUAAUAUUUACACUACAUUAAGGACUAUAUCAGCUACUCUGGAAGAACACAGGAGCUAUAUGGCCUAUCAUGAGCAGAAACUUUCAUACAUGUAAAAGCUAUUUUCAACUGAUGUAACUGUUACUAAUUCCUGUCCAGCAGCGCCAAGGAAUGCAG